rnacentral:rRNA from 1 species
CCUACGGGAGGCAGCAGUGGGGGAUUUUGGACAAUGGGGGCAACCCUGAUCCAGCCAUUCCGCGUGAGUGAAGAAGGCCUUCGGGUUGUAAAGCUCUUUCGCAAGGGAAGAAACGUUACGAGCGAAUAACUCGUGAUAAUGACGGUACCUUGAUAAGAAGCACCGGCUAACUACGUGCCAGCAGCCGCGGUAAUACGUAGGGUGCAAGCGUUAAUCGGAAUUACUGGGCGUAAAGCGUGCGCAGGCGGUUUUGUAAGUCAGAUGUGAAAUCCCCGAGCUCAACUUGGGAACUGCGUUUGAAACUACAAGGCUGGAAUAUGUCAGAGGGGGGUUAGAAUUCCACGUGUAGCAGUGAAAUGCGUAGAGAUGUGGAGGAAUACCAAUGGCGAAGGCAGCCCCCUGGGAUAAUAUUGACGCUCAUGCACGAAAGCGUGGGGAGCAAACAGGAUUAGAUACCCUGGUAGUCCACGCCCUAAACGAUGUCUACUAGUUGUUGGUAGGAGUAAACUCAUGAGUAACCGNAGCUAACGCGUAGAAGUACGACCGCCGUCGGGUAGGUACGGUCGCGAGAAGUAAACGUACGAAGAAGUAGAGCGUGAGACGUGACGACGACGACGACGAGGGAGGAGG